rnacentral:rRNA from 1 species
CCCUUAGAUGUUCUGGGCCGCACGCGCGCUACAAUGAUGAAUUCAACGAGUUUAUAACCUUGGUUGAAAAGCCUGGGUAAUCUUUUGAACUUUCGUCGUGAUGGGGCUAGACCCUUGCAAUUAUUGGUCUCCAACGAGGAAUUCCUAGUAAACGCAAGUCAUCAGCUUGCAUUGAUUACGUCCCUGCCCUUUGUACACACCGCCCGUCGCACCUACCGAUUGAAUGGUCCGGUGAAAUCUUCGGAUUGAGACUUUGUUUUCUUCACGGAAAACGCUGUUUUAAAAAGUUGAUUAAACCUGACCAUUUAGAGGAAGGUGAAGUCGUAACA